UACGGAGGGUGCAAGCGUUAUCCGGAUUCACUGGGUUUAAAGGGAGCGUAGGUGGGCAGGUAAGUCAGUGGUGAAAUCUCUGGGCUUAACCCGGAAACUGCCAUUGAUACUAUUUGUCUUGAAUUAUCUGGAGGUAAGCGGAAUAUGUCAUGUAGCGGUGAAAUGCUUAGAUAUGACAUAGAACACCAAUUGCGAAGGCAGCUUACUACAUAGUUAUUGACACUGAGGCACGAAAGCGUGGGGAUCAAACAGG
rnacentral:rRNA from 1 species